rnacentral:misc_RNA from 1 species
UAAUAAGUGUUUUAUGGCACUUUUUAAAUCCAUAUCCACCUUGUGUGCAAUGUCAGUCGAUCUUCUUCAUGGAGAUCGACCAAACAUCAACCUUUAUCUUUUAACUCUUUAGUCUGAAAAAUAUUAUGAAUAAACAAUUCAAAAUA